GUUUACCUCAUCCCAGCAGGCUUUGCUGCUAUCCCUUAGUCAUGUGAUCUGGAGGGAAUGGGGGAAAUCAGCACAGGUCUAAGCUGGGAAUUGAACCUCCUAAAGCUACAGCUUACCCUCUGACAGGGUGUUCAUUUUUAAGCCCUGUACUGGGAGGUCCUUCUCGAGUGCAGCCAGAAAGAAGUUUUAUGAGCUGCAGGCCUGCAUGCUUGAUGCCUUGCCUAUGCAAAACGAGGAUGAAAUUCACAAGGAAAGAGGCCAACUGCAUUUUAUUAACCUAGCUGUUUUCUUCUUGUCAUGGAUGCUGCUGAGGGACACGGACAGAAAUCUCUGCCCUCACAUGGCAGGAUCCUGUUGAGGGGCACUGCAGCCCAUACCCUGCUGACUGGAUCCAGGUGGUGGGACCCACCUAUGCAGGACGUGAGGUGGUACCAUCAGAAGCUGCAUACCAUGGUAUCCAGGCCCUCUUUCACGUCACGAUGCUGGAGGAUGACGUGCUGCUGAUGACGACUUACAGUAUCUGUGGGGAAAAAUACAGCAGACAGAAAAUCAUGUCCCGAGGACUCCCAGAGGAGGAGAAACAGCAGCUGUAGCAGUGUCUCUUCCAUGCCUUCUCAGCCGAAGUCUGCUGGAUGAACUUUGACCCACACCUCUUGGAUCAGCAGGGCUCUGAGUUUUGCCAGGGCAGCUAUUUCUUAGUGGAUGCCACUGAUUCUCACACCUUCACAGCUAGUAGCAAGGGUGGAGCGCGCUACAUGUUCCUGGCUAAUGUCUUGGUGGGUGAGUCAGUGUGUGGGAAGGAACACUACCAUCAGGUAGGCCCCAGAACAGGCUCCUGGCAGGCCACACUAUGACUCAUGCCACAACGGGAAACCCUGUUCGCAACCCAAAAGCCAUCUGAGCAUCUACGUGACCUUCCACAGUAUCAGUGCUAUCCAUAUUUCCUGAUCUACUACAGAAUGCUCUCAGAUCCCGUGAGAUGGCUGACAGCACUGGAGGAGUGACCAUGUCAUACAUAAGAGGAACCCCGUCCAGUUCUUAGCAGCUUUGCUGAUCAGAGGUCCUGCCCCCAGGGAGGGUCUGCUUUCUGUCUUUCCACUCUUCACACCACUGUAAAUACUCCUGACAUCCCACGCAUAUGCACCAAGUGUGUGCGUCCCCUGUUCUGUUGCAUGCAAAAACCAUCCCAGCUCAUUCUCAGAGAGUCCCAUCCUCCACCUCCCUUCUUACUGUUGUUGCUUCCAUUGGCAUCAUGGGUGGACACCUGUAGAAUCCCGCAAGGGUGGGCCCCCAAACCCAGGUAGAUGCUGUUCCCUUAGACAGUCAGAAGGGGGCACUGUUCAGUAAGAAGUGUCAUCCAUUCCUCUUUCCUGAUCUCUCAUGGGUUUUAAGGAACGUGGUGAAAUUUCCAUUUGUGGUCCCAAAUACUACUCUCAUAAAAUAUUAUUCUUCCCUCCUCAUCUCUACAUCCUUUCUCACUCUGCAUAAGAUAUGUUUAUGCAUAGGUCUUUGACAUGGGAUGUUAUUAGAGCUCCUGUUUGUUACAUUGAUUGUUAAGUCAAAUUUUACAGAUCCAUUUACUGCUGUUCUUUGUUGUUACCUCUUUUGCUAUGCUUACUUUGGUUCAAAUUCAUUUGCAAUCAUUGUUAUUGUUCUGAUCCUUGCUCAUCUGGACAAUUUUCUGGCCUUUAAUAUAAUUAUGAAAUGGGCUGAAAGAAUGAGUGUCUUUAUUAUCCAGGACCAGUUAAUUUGAUCCUCCAUUAAAUCUACUCAAAUCCUUGCACACAAAUAAUUUCCAUUAAAAACAACAGCUCACGUGAUUCACUAUCCUGGUGCAAGGGACAUAUUUCCAAUCUCCAAUCUGUGCUAGCCUCCUGAUUCAUCUUCCUGUCUAAAACCGAACCUCACCCCCAUCUUGCUUUCCCUUGUCACAAUGCCACUAGAGACCAUGCCCAAUCCCAGACCUGCAUUGCAUAUGGGCCAAUUUACCUCUAAUCUCCAAACUGCCCCUGCCUGGCCUA